GACUGCUCAGUAAUACUCACUUUAUUUUAUGUAAAUUUUUAAUUAACUACGUUAAAGUGUAGAUAAGAUGUUUACAGUAAGAGUGAGACCUAUCAGCUAGUUGUUAAGGUAAUGGCUUAACAAGGCUGUGACGGGUAACGGUAUUACUUUGUAAUAUUCCGGAGAAGGAGCCUGAGAGACGGCUACUAAGUCUAAGGAUUGCAGCAGGGGCGAAACUUGACCUAUGGAUUUUAUCUGAGGCAGUUAUGGGAAGUAAUAUUAUAUUGUUUCAUAUUUUAAAAGUAUAUGAGGUGAUUAAUUGGAGGGCAAAUCAAGUGCCAGCAGCCGCGGUAAUACUUGUUCCAAGAGUGUGUAUGAUGAUUGAUGCAGGUAAAAAG
rnacentral:rRNA from 1 species